rnacentral:rRNA from 1 species
GGCCAGUCUUGUGCUGUGCAGUUUGCCGGUACCAGGCUUGGUCAUCCGUAGGGGAAUCCCGUUCGGCCUUCACUGGUCGGCGGGUGGAACCUACAAUUUACUGUGAAAAAAUUAGAGUGUUUCAGGCAGGCUUUCGCUUGGAUACUCCAGCAUGGAAUAAUGGAAUAGGACUUUGGUCUAUUUGUUGGUUUGAGAUCAAAGUA